UGUAAGCGUAUACCAAAGUUGUUGCAGUUAAAACGCUUGUAGUCGGAAUUUGGCAGUUCCGGAUGUGUGCACGUCGUGUGCGCACUUCGCGGGGAUUGCUUUUGUGGUCUUGCGUAGGAUGAGGCACUUUUAUUAGUGAACGUCCUCACGCAACCACUUUUUACUGUGAGAAAAUCAGAGUGCUCAAAGCAGGCAUUUGCCGUGAAUGUAUUAGCAUGGAAUAAUAGAAUAGGACUCGGUUCUAUUUUGUUGGUUUGUUGGGACUGAGUAAUGAUUAAGAGGGACAGUUGGGGGCAUUUGUAUUUCGGCGCUAGAGGUGAAAUUCUUAGAUUGCCGAAAGACAAACUGCUGCGAAAGCGUCUGCCAAGGAUGUUUUCAUUGA
rnacentral:rRNA from 1 species